ACUCCUACGGGAGGCAGCAGUGGGGAAUAUUGCACAAUGGGCGCAAGCCUGAUGCAGCCAUGCCGCGUGUAUGAAGAAGGCCUUCGGGUUGUAAAGUACUUUCAGCAGUGAGGAAGGUGGAUAUGUUAAUAGCAUAUUCAUUUGACGUUAGCUGCAGAAGAAGCACCGGCUAACUCCGUGCCAGCAGCCGCGGUAAUACGGAGGGUGCGAGCGUUAAUCGGAAUUACUGGGCGUAAAGCGCAUGCAGGUGGUUUGUUAAGUCAGAUGUGAAAGCCCGGGGCUCAACCUCGGAAUUGCAUUUGAAACUGGCAAACUAGAGUACUGUAGAGGGGGGUAGAAUUUCAGGUGUAGCGGUGAAAUGCGUAGAGAUCUGAAGGAAUACCGGUGGCGAAGGCGGCCCCCUGGACAGAUACUGACACUCAGAUGCGAAAGCGUGGGGAGCAAACAGGAUUAGAUACCCUGGUAGCACGAAUG
rnacentral:rRNA from 1 species